GGUAUCUUGAGGGAUGGCUGGGUGCCUUCUAUGAGACUUAACAUAUUUCCUGAACAUGGUGCCUCACCAUGGCAACAGCCAUAUCCAUCUUGAUAUUUUUA